UAGACCAGGACUCUAGUCGUAAGGGUGGAGACACACGGACUCAGAAAGGUUAGGAAGAAGCCUCCGCUGCCGAGCCAGGACGGCCUCCGAGGGGAAGACCAGCCCCCUGCCCAGCCAGCCCCAACCCAGCCAACACGCCCCAGAAGGGGAGAUCAUCCCCCCCAGCCAAGAUGCCCCCGAAGGGGAAACAAGACCCCUGCCCAACCUUCUGCCCAGCCAGGAUUGCUCCGGUGGGGGAAACAAGCCGCUUGCCCAGCCAAGACGCCCUCGAAGGGGAGAUCAGCCCCCUCACCCCAAGCCAAGAUGGCAUCCAAAAGGGAGACCAGCCUCUGCCCAGCCAGGCCCUCUCUCCCCUCCACCCCCACCCCCCGCCCCCCCCCCGCAAGAUGCCCCACAGGGGAAACCAAGCCCUUGGCCAGCCGUCUUGGCCCCAAAGAGGAAGACAAACCCCACCAGAAAAACAGAGAACUACAACAGAGAGACCCAGUUAGGUAAGAGCUGUACGAAGCCUCUAUCAUGUCCUUGUUGAAGAAGACUGCAUUUGUGAGCGUAAAGGCAUUCCCGGAGCGUGUCAGUCACUUCACCAGCAUUUAUUAAGCAUUUACUAGGUGCCAGGCCCUAGGCUUGGUGGUGGGAAUACAAAUACAAGCAAAAAGAGACAGUUCCUGCCCUCGGAUUUACAUCUUAAGGGAAACACAAAGCAUAAGGGGGUAAGAAGAUAUUCUCUCGGGGACAAUCCUGGAGGUUCAGUGUUUUUUCAUGUUGACUUCCCCAUUAGGAUGCGAGCUCUAUGAAUUCGGGGAUCGUUUUAGCCUUUCUUUGUAUCUCUAGUGCUUAGCACAUAGUAGGUACUUAAUAAAUGUUUAGCGAUUGCCAUGUUGA